ACGGAAGGCAGCAGUGGGGAAUAUUGCACAAUGGGCGGAAGCCUGAUGCAGCGACGCCGCGUGAGCGAAGAAGUAUUUCGGUAUGUAAAGCUCUAUCAGCAGGGAAGAAGAAUGACGGUACCUGACUAAGAAGCACCGGCUAAAUACGUGCCAGCAGCCGCGGUAAUACGUAGGGGGCGAGCGUUGUCCGGAAUGAUUGGGCGUAAAGGGCGCGUAGGCGGCCCGGUAAGUCUGAAGUGAAAGUCCUGCUUUUAAGGUGGGAAUUGCUUUGGAUACUGUCGGGCUUGAGUGCAGGAGAGGUUAGUGGAAUUCCCAGUGUAGCGGUGAAAUGCGUAGAGAUUGGGAGGAACACCAGUGGCGAAGGCGACUAACUGGACUGUAACUGACGCUGAGGCGCGAAAGUGUGGGGAGCAAACAGGAUUAGAUACCCUGGUA
rnacentral:rRNA from 1 species